rnacentral:rRNA from 1 species
GUGAAGCGGGAAAAGCUCAAAUUUGAAAUCUGGCAGUCUUUUUUUUCUUCUUUGGCUGUCCGAGUUGUAAUCUAGAGAAGUGCUUACCUGCACUGGACCAUGUAUAAGUCUCCUGGAAUGGAGCCUCACAGAGGGUGAGAAUCCCGUCUUUGACAUGGACUGCCAGUGCGUUGUGGUGCGCUCUCAAAGAGUCGAGUUGUUUGGGAAUGCAGCUCUAAACGGGUGGUAAACUCCAUCUAAAGCUAAAUAUUGGCGAGAGACCGAUAGCGAACAAGUACCGUGAGGGAAAGAUGAAAAGGACUUUGGAAAGAGAGUUAAACAGUAUGUGAAAUUGUUGAAAGGGAAACGCUUGAAGUCAGUUAUGUCGGCUGGGGAUCAACCUAGCCAUUUUUUUUGGCUGGGUGAAUUUCCUAGUCUGACAGGCCAACAUCAGUCUUGACUGCCGGAAAAGAGUGGAGGGAAUGUGGCACCUUUGGGUGUGUUAUAGCCCUCCGUCAUAUGCGGCAGUCGGGACUGAGGGAUGCAGUGUGCCGCGAGGCUGGGUUUUGACCACGUUCACACUUAGGAUGUUGGCUUUUAAUGGCUCCAAUCGACCCGUCUUGAAACACGGACCAAGGAGUCUAACAUGCCUGCAAGUAUUUGGGUGGAAAACCCUUGUGCACAAUGAAAGUGAAAGUUGAGAUCCCUGUCAUGGGGAGCAUCGACGCCCGGACUUGAGCUUUUAGCAAUGGAUCCGCGGUAGAGCAUGCAUGUUGGGACCCGAAAGAUGGUGAACUAUGCCUGAAUAGGGCAAAGCCAGAGGAAACUCUGGUGGAGGCUCGUAGCGAUUCUGACGUGCAAAUCGAUCG